AUUGAACGCUGGCGGCAGGCCUAACACAUGCAAGUCGAACGGUAGCACAGAGAGCUUGCUCUCGGGUGACGAGUGGCGGACGGGUGAGUAAUGUCUGGGAAACUGCCCGAUGGAGGGGGAUAACUACUGGAAACGGUAGCUAAUACCGCAUAACGUCGCAAGACCAAAGUGGGGGACCUUCGGGCCUCACACCAUCGGAUGUGCCCAGAUGGGAUUAGCGAGUAGGUGGGGUAAUGGCUCACACAGGGGACGAUCCCUAGCUGGUCUGAGAGGAUGACCAGGCACACUGGAACUGAGAAACGGUCCAGACUCCUACGGGAGGCAGCAGUGGGGAAUAUUGCACAAUGGGCGCAAGCCUGAUGCAGCCAUGCCGCGUGUAUGAAGAAGGCCUUCGGGUUGUAAAGUACUUUCAGCGGGGAGGAAGGCGGUGAAGUUAAUAGCUUCACCGAUUGACGUUACCCGCAGAAGAAGCACCGGCUAACUCCGUGCCAGCCGCCGCAGUAA
rnacentral:rRNA from 1 species